rnacentral:rRNA from 1 species
CCUACGGGUGGCUGCAGUGGGGAAUCUUAGACAAUGGGCGCAAGCCUGAUCUAGCCAUGCCGCGUGAGCGAUGAAGGCCUUAGGGUUGUAAAGCUCUUUCAGGGGGGAAGAUAAUGACUGUACCCCCAGAAGAAGCCCCGGCUAACUCCGUGCCAGCAGCCGCGGUAAUACGGAGGGGGCUAGCGUUGUUCGGAAUUACUGGGCGUAAAGCGCACGUAGGGGACGAGAAAGUCAGAGGUGAAAUCCCAGGGCUCAACCUUGGAACUGCCUUUGAAACUUCUUGUCUUGAGGUCGAGAGAGGUGAGUGGAAUUCCGAGUGUAGAGGUGAAAUUCGUAGAUAUUCGGAGGAACACCAGUGGCGAAGGCGGCUCACUGGCUCGAUACUGACGCUGAGGUGCGAAAGCGUGGGGAGCAAACAGGAUUAGAUACCCGAGUAGUC